CGGGCGGAGUGCGCACGCGCUGUUUUGUGGAGGACUGGCGGGUCCCUCUGAGCCUUUGGGCGCCAUGCGCAUGCGCUUUUAGGGCUGCCCGCCCUAAAUUGGGGCUGGCCGUGAUGGCGGUGGGGUGACGCAGCGGCCUGAUGGGGAUGCUGUAAGAGUUACUGCUGUGCUUUGAGGAGCUGCUGACCUCCUUUUCCCUCCAUACUCCUCAGACAGCGAGGUGCGAUCCCUGCUGCAAAUAUUACUCAACCCGCUGUUGAGCAAGCUACUCUGAGACGAGAAAUACCUGCCCUGUUUCUUUAUAGCUGCUUCCAUCUGUAGGUGCGUGACUUUGCAGUGCAUUUUCUCGGUCCCCAAGGCUCUCUCCCUGCCAAAAGAGGAUGCUAAUACUAGGUGAAUACAGGCCAUAGACUCUGGAUGUCUUAAGUCAUGCAUUGAGAAGUUCUGCUUGGUCACUCGCUAAUGUUUGGUAAUAAAAGUCACACUUGAAUUCGUUAUUAGGAGUUUGGUUUCAUAGUAACUUCCUACAAGCUGCAGAGGUUCAUCACAGUCAAAGGGGAAGGGGCAGCCACGGGGUGUGUGUGUCUGUGGGCUGCGCACACAGCUGUGCUGCUUCCAUCUUCACCCACCUGGGACCAUGGUGCACAGCUGCUGGGCAGACACAGCCUCCCUGGGCUUUUGCACCCAGAGAAAAACAGCUGAGUGUUGCUGGUAGGAAUCUGGCAUUCUUGGCAGCACACACUUAACUUGCUUGUGUUGCAGGGAGCCAUUCAGAUAUAGAGGCUUGAGAUAAAAUGUCACUUGCUAUUUUUUGUGUGACUGUUUACAACCUGAAAGAUACUGUUUGCUCACUUCCACUGUUGCUCGAUCCCAGAUUUAGUUCUGUACUUUGCAGACAGAUUUUUUUCUACUUAGCAGUCCAACAUACAUUCUGCUGAAUGAAUAUGAAUGAAAGUACUUUAUGCUGAGCAAUUGUAUUAGUUUCACUACUCCUUUUUGUUCAGACUGUUGAAAGGAAACUACUCAUACUCUCAUUUUUGUGGUUGCUGGUUGUAGUACAGAACAGCUCUGCAUAGUUUGUGUUGGGGCAAGUGUUCAUUUAUGUGUGGGUUGUUUGGUUCUGCCCUGAAAUCUUGUAAAAGCCAUAACCUAACUGGGAAUCAGCUCUAGAGAUGUGAACUGAUUUCUUUUGAGAUUCUGCCCUGUCUUUGGUCCUGUGUGUGCUGUAGUAACAAGCACAAAUGGAAGCUGAAAGCUGCAUGCUCAACUUCUGUAGUUCAGCGGAGCUGCAGUGGAAAGGCCAGACAUAUCUAGGGCAGCGUCGCAACAGGUUGGUUGAUCAGCAUCUAAUCCCUACUCCCUCCAGAAACGUCCACAGUGGCCUUUUGCUUGCAGGUGAUGCCAAGGAGAUUGAAGAUCACUGGUGGAGACAAUGGCAGUGACUGAAGAACCCCAGCAACUCUGUCAUACAGCAGAAGUGCUCUAGCUCAGGCUUACCAGUGAGGUUAGAAGAAGACAGUGCCAAGAGAACCUUCCUCAGGGAUCAGAUGUACUCUCUGAAAAUAAAGUAAGGUGGUGUGUUCUGGUGUUAAGUUCAUUGGUUGGGUUUCACUGUUGUCAUUAUUUUCUACAUACAAUAAAGUUAUGUUGGGUCAGAAACUGAA